UACGAAGGGGGCUAGCGUUGUUCGGAUUUACUGGGCGUAAAGCGCACGUAGGCGGAUUGGUCAGUUAGGGGUGAAAUCCUGGAGCUCAACUCCAGAACUGCCUUUAAUACUGCCAGUCUCGAGUCCGGAAGAGGUAAGUGGAACUCCUAGUGUAGAGGUGGAAUUCGUAGAUAUUAGGAAGAACACCAGUGGCGAAGGCGGCUUACUGGUCCGGUACUGACGCUGAGGUGCGAAAGCGUGGGGAGCAAAGCAGG
rnacentral:rRNA from 1 species